rnacentral:rRNA from 1 species
CUUACCAUGCAGUCGAACGGUAAGGCCCUUUCGGGGGUACACGAGUGGCGAACGGGUGAGUAACACGUGGGUGAUCUGCCCUGCACUUUGGGAUAAGCCUGGGAAACUGGGUCUAAUACCGAAUACACCUUGCUGGUCGCAUGGCCUGGCGGGGGAAAGCUUUUGCGGUGUGGGAUGGGCCCGCGGCCUAUCAGCUUGUUGGUGGGGUGAUGGCCUACCAAGGCGACGACGGGUAGCCGGCCUGAGAGGGUGUCCGGCCACACUGGGACUGAGAUACGGCCCAGACUCCUACGGGAGGCAGCAGUGGGGAAUAUUGCACAAUGGGCGCAAGCCUGAUGCAGCGACGCCGCGUGAGGGAUGACGGCCUUCGGGUUGUAAACCUCUUUCAACAGGGACGAAGCGCAAGUGACGGUACCUGUAGAAGAAGCACCGGCCAACUACGUGCCAGCAGCCGCGGUAAUACGUAGGGUGCGAGCGUUGUCCGGAAUUACUGGGCGUAAAGAGCUCGUAGGUGGUUUGUCGCGUUGUUCGUGAAAACCUGAGGCUUAACCUUGGGCGUGCGGGCGAUACGGGCAGACUGGAGUACUGCAGGGGAGACUGGAAUUCCUGGUGUAGCGGUGGAAUGCGCAGAUAUCAGGAGGAACACCGGUGGCGAAGGCGGGUCUCUGGGCAGUAACUGACGCUGAGGAGCGAAAGCGUGGGGAGCGAACAGGAUUAGAUACCCUGGGUAGUCCACGCCGUAAACGGUGGGUACUAGGUGUGGGUUUCCCUUCCCUUGGGAUCCGUGCCGUAGCUAACGCAUUAGUAC